rnacentral:ncRNA from 1 species
UUAAUUUGACUCAACACGGGGAAACUUACCAGGUCCAGACAUAGUAAGGAUUGACAGACUGAGAGCUCUUUCUAUUUUUUUUUUUUUUUGAUUAAAAUGUAAAUAUUAUAAAUCAAAAAAGUCGUAGACA